ACUUGAGUAGCUUAAGUUUAAAGCCUAAUAUUGAAGCUAUUAUAAUAAGAAUUAUUCUUCUCAAGUA
rnacentral:tRNA from 1 species